GACGUAGGUGGCGAGCGUUGUUCGGAAUCACUGGGCAUAAAGCGCACGUAGGCGGCGGCGUAAGUCGGGUGUGAAAUCCCUCGGCCUAACCGAGGAACUGCGCCCGAUACUGCGUUGCUUGAGGAUCAGAGGGGUGCAUGGAAUUUCCGGUGGAGCGGUGAAAUGCGUAGAGAUCGGAAAGAACACCAACGGCGAAAGCACUCUGCUGGGCCGACACUGACACUGAGAGACGAAAGCUAGGGGAGCGAAUGGG
rnacentral:rRNA from 1 species